UAAUUAAAGAUUAGUAAGUAUAAUCAAACAUUAAUCAAAUUCAAUCAAAAUUACAAAGGAAUUAUAUAAAAAACACAAAAUAUUCCUAAAGAACUUUUAAAGAAAUCAUAAAGAAAUAAUAUAGGAAUUAAAAAAUAUACUAAAAUAGAAAUCUUAAUAAAAUAUUAAAAUAAAAAUCUUAAUUAAAUCCUAAUAAAAUCUUGACCAAAUUCUAAAUAAAUCCUAGUCAAAACCUAAUCAAAUCUUAACCAAGCCCUAGUCAAAUUCUAACCAAACCUUAAUCAAAUCCUAACCAAAUCCUAACUAAAUCCUAGUCAAAUUCUAACCAAAUCCUAAUCAAUCUUAAAUAAAUCCUAGUCAAAUCCUAACCAAAUCCUAACCAAAUUCUAGUCAAAUCCUAACCAAAUCCUAAACAUACCCUAAUUUAAUCCUAAAUAAUUCCAAAUAACUCCUAUAGAAAAUUUAAACCUCAAUAAUUAAUGAAUAAAAUAUUGGUUUUAUAUCAAAUUUUUCACACCUCUUCAUAAUUAAGUUUAUAACAAGUACAAAUUUUUUUAAGAAGAUCAAACUGACCAAAAAAAAGAUCAACUCUAAUAUUUGCUCAGGUAUUGGUUGGCCUCCUUCUUCAAUCUAAAUGUUAAAUUUCUAGUGUCAAUAUCUCCUUAUAAAAUUAUUCAAUUGAUAUCAAAUUUCUCAUAUAUAUAAUAAAAUAAGUCUAUUAUGUACAAACAUAAUUUUCACUCCAAUCCAACUGAUAUAUUCUAAGAAAUCUUAGAAAUCUUCAUUGGACCUAAAACUCUACUUC
rnacentral:lncRNA from 1 species